AAAAGUGACGUGAAAACAACAAGGAUAAUUAGUACUUCUAUUUAGCAAUUCACUGUUCCUUCUUCAAUCAAUUAUCCAAGAUCAGAUGUUCUAAAAUAUGAUGCCUGAGUCGGAUGGAUAAUGCUUAAAAGCCAACCAAUACCAAGUGACUCUAAAGCAGAAUCCUGUUAUCCAAAUAAUCUUGCAAAUUUCGUUCACUUGGUUCAAAAGAGCAGAAGCAGUUUCGUCCAAAAAUUUCAACGAAGGUUCUCCAACGGGAAAUUAUACAGAGGUUUUUUCUACUCCAGGUAUGUUAAGGCUAAGCUUUUUCUUUAUUUUAGCAUGAUCGCGUCAUUACACAGGUUUGAUAACGAGCCAUAAAGUAAAAUUCAUGUCCCGGAAUUUACGUAUAUUUUUUUAGUUUUGUAAGUUACAAUAUUCUCUUUAUCGGGAUUUCAUAUUCAUUUGAGUAUUCCCUCUUCCAGUCAAGACAGCAGAGAGUUUAUAUAUACAGUAUUACAGUAUUUUCAUUACGAUCGAGCUAUAAUCGAUGGGCAUGCCCCUAUUGGGCAACCUCUAAUCAGAUGGUAAAUUAUAUACCGAGCUCAUGUGGCAAAGUGCUUAUGAGUGAGCCCAGUUGGUCGAGAUACAAAGCCUAGUAUGGCCGAGCGCCUAUGAGCGAGCCUACUACAACAGAGCAGUUAUAUAUAUACCGAGUCUUAUAGGUCCGGACAACUAUUUUACUUACUAUAUUGAGAGAGUUAAGUCAGUAUCAGCAGGUAAGCAUAUCUUCAGAUUAUCUUUGACUUUCAGCUACUUGCAAUUAUUAUGUUAUCAGUUCAGUUUCAGCUUUUAGUAUAUUGCCUUACAUACUCAGUACAUUUUUUUGUACUGACGUCCCUUUUCUGGGGGCGUUGCAUUUCAUGCGUGCAAGUCAGACAGACAGACGGGUAGGCCUCUUCAAUAAGUGUUGCCCGAGUUCAGCUUGAUCAGUAAGCCCCAUGCCUUUAGGAGUUUCCGGAUCUAGAGCCUUAUGUACAUCUUGUAUAUAUAUGUAUAUAUGUUAUGAGUAGGUCGGGGAGCUGUUUCGAUCAUAGUAUAUCCAUCAGUAGAGGCUUGCAGACAUAUCCUAUCAGUUAGUGCUAUAUGUUGGGCUUGCAGACCUUGUAUGUAUAUUUGGUUGGUUUGUCAGCUGUAAUAGUUAUGACGGCCUUGUCGGCCCUGUUUUAUAUUGACAUUUAGUCAGCAUUCGCAGUAAUCUUGCAAUGUGGCCCAUGACCAAAGUAUGACAUCAUAUGUUUAGAAUUCCUUAGUUGCAAGUUGGUACGCAAGGAUAGGUGAGGCACUGGGUGCCGGUCUCGCCCCCGGGUUCGUGGCGUGACACAAUCUUCAUUUGUUCCGAUUUUAUGCAACCUCCAACUGUGACAAAAUAACUCAAGAUUUGGUAUAAACAAAUCUUACCAUUACAAUCAGGCUUAAAGACAAUUUUGAGGCAUUUUCUCACGGAUUACUCAUAGAUUACAUACUCCUAAUGCAUCAAAAUGAUGAGCUAAAUCUAAAAAAGUAGAAAAAUCAAAUAUGGGCAAUUCGAAAAAACUUUCCUUCAAUCUCCAUUUGUUCUAAUUUUAUGCAAUCUCCAACUGCGACAAAAUAACUCAAGAUUUGGUAGAAAUAAAUUUUACCAUUACAAUCAGGCUUAAAGAUAAUUCUUAGGCUUUUUCUCAACGAAUUACUCACAUAUUACAUACUUGUAAUACAUAAAAAGUAUGAGCAAAAUCUAAAAAAGUGUUGCAUAUAUUUUGAUAGUGAUCGCAACCCUAUUUACAAGAAACCUCAAAACUAGCGGUGGCAUCAUAGAUUCAUAGUAUAGUAUUGUAACCAUUAACUGAAAAAUGACAUGUGAAUCCAGAAGAAAAAAGGAAUAUUAUGGUGUGAAGAAAAAUAAGAAUAUUAUGAUGUGAAGAAGAACGGCUUUGGAUCUAUGACUGAAAUUUUGAAAGAUGGCCGAAAACUUUUACCAGCGAAACUUUACAUUUUCCGAUGAAGAAAUUUUUUACAAAGAAGCAUGAAAUCAUUUCACACGCUCAAUUUUGCAUGGAAGCACAUAAUCUACCGUGUAAGCACUUUGUGUUGUAAAGACACAAUUUAAACAUAGUUCAAGUAUUCAAUUGGUCAUAAGCUUAGCUUAAUGCAUAACUGAAAAAUUCAAAUAAGUUUAAGGGAUGUCUAUGUAUUUGGCCUAAAAUAAUUAGUUAUAUACUAAUAUUGACUUCCCUAGCAAGUGGACGUUAGGCUCCAUCACGGCUCUGUGGUUGGUAUUUCAGGUCACCACAUUUUGAUGUUCGCAAGGUUCAGAAUUGAUUUAAUAGAGUGAUCCUCAAUUUGGAAGCCAUAACUUGGAAGAGUAGACAAAAAUUUGACUUUUGAGUAAACGACCUCAAAAUUAAGAUUCAAUGAUUUUAAUAGUUUUAUAUAGUUAUAUACGGCCAAAAUUGGGGAGUUUGAUUUUGGGGUACUAUGCCGCCCCAUACCUAACCUCGAAGAAGCCCGAAGCAGAGCAUGAGGUACGACCCUGAGGUGUGUCCCUCGAGAGAGUAUAUCGAAGGCUCACUAUGGUUGACCUUGGAGCUGUACAAUCGAUGAUCAUCAUGGAAAUGUAGGAAAAUUUCCAAAUACACGUGGUUAGAGCUGACCAUGCCUGCAAGAAUAGUACAAAUCUGUACUAAGUCAUUAUACAGUUGUACCAAUAGUAUUUCGUCGUUAUUAUUAGACAUAUACUAUGUUGGUAUUACCACUCAUAUAUAAAGGGGACUCUUGUCAUCUUGUAAGAGGAUUCAGAUUAUUACACAACAUAUUGAAUACAAUAUAACAUUCUCUACUCUUUGCUUAGAACAAUUGUCCUACGCAUUUAUUGCUUAUUCUUUCAUUGUUCAUUCAUUGUUCAUUUAUUGUUCUUUAUUUAUUUCUCAUUAUCAACCACAAAAUGCCAUAGGCCCUCAUUAUCAUUGAUUCUCCACCAAUUGUCCAUUGCUAUUAGCCCCAUCUAGACCUCGAGGUCCUGCUCCAGCCAGCUCGAGGCCCAACCUUGUGACCCAAAAGGUUUGCAUUUCUUAUUUUCUUUACUUACACCUAGCAUUUAUUGCCCUACAACUAGUAUUAAAAUAAAUCACGUAUUUUUGGAACCACAAAAUCAAAUAUAAUUGCAGUUACCAUUUUCAAGGUAAACAGUUUGGCACCCACCGUGGAGCUAAGAAUAAUAGUGAUCAUUUUGGUGCUAGUUUUUUGAAAACACAAGUUAUUCUUCACACUUUUUCUAGUCAAAGAAUCUCUGAUUUCAGGUCAAAAAUGUCUAACUCAGCAAAUUCACGUGAAAAUGACGGUAUUGGGCUUUAAUGAGAAAACGGUGCAGACAUCGGUUUACCACCGCAAAACCUAGGGGUAAUGCCACCAGAUGCCGGUAUACCACCGCAUAACCCAAAGGAGGCACCAGCACAAAUCCCAAUCGAUGUGAACACGCGGAAUAUUGUGCAUGUCGAUGUAAGCUCUCCUACCGACGGAAGAGUGCGCGAUGAGGAAAGAGACGUUAGUCUUCAAGUAAUCUUUGAAAUGUUGCAAGCACAACAAGUGGCUAUUUCUCAGCUACAAAGUCAACAAACAACUCCAAGCACAACAAUACCGGAAAUGUCUCCUCGAGUCGAGCAGGCACCAGAGAGAUCGAGUAACAAUAGGUUAGCAGCGGACCCCGCUAUUGUGAAGAUGCUAAAGAACCUUACCAAAAGGAUUGAAUCAGGAGAAAAGAAGAUAGAGGCUAACGACAAAAAAGUAGAGACUUAUAACUCAAGGGUCGAUCAGAUCCCUAGGGAACCCCCGAUUCUAAAGGGUAUAGAUUCAAAAAGUUCGUGCAGAGAUCAUUACCAACAAGUGCGGCUCCGAAGCCCAUCCCGAAGAAAUUCAGAAUGCCCGAUGUCCUGAAGUAUAACGGGACCACGGACCCCAAUGAGCACGUUACCGCUUAUACUUGUGCUGUAAAAGGGAACAACUUGAAGGAUGACGAAAUUGAGUCCGUCUUGUUGAAGAAAUUUGGAGAAACACUAUCAAAGAGGGGUUAUGAUGUGGUGUCAUAACCUACCCCCAAAUUCAAUUGAUUCAUAUGCCAUAUUGGUAGACUCUUUUGUGAGGGCACACACUGGUGCCAUCAAGGUCGCCACCAGGAAGUCCAAUAUCUUCAAAAUAAAACAAAGAGAAAACGAGAUGCUAAGGGAAUUUGUAUCUUGCUUUCAGAUGGAGCGAAUGGAAUGACCACCAGUCUUCGAUGACUAGGCAGUACAGGCCUUCACUCGAGGCUUAAAAAAAUUUGAUCGAAUAUUUUGCCGCGACCUGGGCGGAUGUGCAUAACAGAUAUCAAUCAAAGAUCAGGGUCGAAGAUGAUAUAUUAGGCGCCCCCUCGGGCUUAGUAUAUCCUAGUAGAAUCUUAACGAAGGAACAAAAGCUUAUAGAAAGGGAGUCAAGGCCAAGCAAGGAAAGGUACCAACCAUAUGUAGAAGAUCGAAUAAGCACCCUAAGGCGUAAUAUACCUCGAGGAGAUCGAAGGACAGAUCAAGGUCAAAGCUCUUGGGGACUCAUGAGUAAAACUGGGUUCGAUAGGCACACUGGGCUGAUAGUGUUACACCCCAUAUUUUCGUACUUAUAAGUACGCCAUAAGUAAAUUGAUGAAAGCUCGGAAAUGAAAUAUUACAUCCUGCAUUAUUCGUACGUUAAAAUGUCGUCGUAAGUUAAUCGAUGUAAGUUCGGGAAUGAGAUUAUUCUAAGAUUAUAAGCACUAUGCUAUUUCAAACAAGUGAUGAUUAAAUUCAUGAAGGUGAGAGGGUAAGCAAAUAAAAGCAAAUGAAUUUCGUCAAAGUUUGACAAUUUAGGAUAAAAACAGUCCAAGCUAUAAUACUCCGUAUUUAUGGACUAGUACCAUACAAGGUACCAUAUGACCAUGAUAGUAAUAUGUAUAUAGUAUGUUAAAAGGGAGUAGUGUUUUAAGUAAUUUGAGAUAGUUCUUAAUUAUAUGAAUAAUUGAUUAAUGGAGGAAAUUAAUAAGUUAAGUAAAGAUUAAUGGAUGAUUAAUUAAAAUGUUGGCUAAGGACUAAAGAGCCUCACAUAGCAGCCCAAGGACACCUUAAUGAUGAGUCUUAAAUCACAAGACUAGGUGGCAUGUAUUAGGAAAGUUUGGUAGCUAGAUCCUUAUCUAAGUGGGGCCCACACCCAUUAAGGUUUAAAACCCUGUCUAAUUCACGUAAAGAGAUUUAAUAUCUCUACAAUAUGAAGAUGAAGGAUUCAUCCAAUUCAUAUGAGGAUCUAUAUGGUAGUAACAUGGUUUUCUUGAGGCAAAAUUUCAAACGAAACUUCUUAGCAUAAUCGCAACGGGGUUUUACGAUUCUAAGGGAGUACGGUACAAUCUUUCUCAAGAAUAUCAUACGGAUUUUCCUCUACUUCGAUCUGAUGUUACGUAUUGUCGCAAUUAACAUGUGUUAGAGGGAUUAUCAAGAGAAUCGGCUCAGGUAUGUUAAGGCUAUCCCUUUUUUCUUUUUGGCAUGAUCCAAAUGAUAUAAAAGAAACGAGCAAAUGCACAACUUCCAUAAAUGACUCUAUUGACAGAAAUACUAGAGAUGCUUAUGUUCUUGAUUCCCCAUGUGUCAUAUUAUUCUAUCGUAUGUUCAUGGGUCUCAGAAAAUACGUAAGUUGAUAAAGUUUACUUCAUGGUAUUAUUCAAAGGCAAAAUGGUCUUAUGACACUCCGAAAGAUUUUAUUUACGUACAUCUCAUACAUUGCAUUCAUGCACAUUGACCCAUAACGAGAUGGCAUUAUGAACGCAUAUACUCAUGCAUGGUAUGCUAUUUUUAUGCAUAUGCACGAUAUUAUAAUAUCAAAUGAUUCACAGAGUUAUUCAGAUAUACAUGUUUAGUCUUUUACUCCAUGUUUAUCUAAUGUCUAUUGUCUACUGAUUUUAUUCCUUUUAUACUCGGUACAUCAUUCGUACUGACAUCCCUUUUUCCUGGGGACGCUGCGUUUCAUGCCUGCAGGUCCCGAUAGACAGAUCGAGAGUCCUCUAAGUAGGCGAUUAGCUCAGCGGAAGAUGUUGAUUCACUCUAUUUGAUCCGGAGUUGCUUGUUUGGUCAGUAUAAUUUAGAUGUGUAUUGUUUGGUAUGGAGGGGCUCUGUCCCAACCUUUAUGAUAUUAUGUAUUCUUAGAGGCUUGUAGACAGAUGUCAUGUAUACGGAUUCUUGUAUGGCCUUGUCGGCCUAUGUUUUGAGUAUAUAAAGGAUCAU
rnacentral:lncRNA from 1 species